AAAAAUUAUUUUACUACCAUUUAUAGAAGGUCGGUUUUAGAGAAUUAUCUUUUACUUUAGUAUUUUAUUGAAAUAGUUAAUUUUGUUAUAGUUUACUAGUACUGUAGAGUAAUGUUGAAAUAUUUUGAAAUAAUUAUUUUAGAAAAAGCAUACAUGUUUGUAGUACCUUUUGUAUCAGGGAUGAUUUAUUUUAUCUAAUAUAU
rnacentral:rRNA from 1 species